GAAGUUCCUGGGUGUCUUUAUGAUCUUCAGUGUCUCACACACAGUGCAGAACAUUGAAAGGCUCAAGAAAGAACUGAACUGAUCUUAUUCAGCAUGGACAGAUGCUUUCUACUCACUGUUAUUAUGGGAACAGGUUUGGUGUCUGGGGACAGUAUUGAGCCAGAUGAAGAUAAAAAUGUUAUCACAAAAGAAAGAGAAGCUGUCAAGCUGAGCUGCUCAUAUAGUGCAAGCAGCAAUUACAUUCGGCUUUUCUGGUACAGACAGUAUCUUAAUGGAGAACUUAUGUUUUUAACAUACAGAGGUGCUCGAUCAUGGAGUGCUGCAGACACUGCUGAUGCUCGGUUUCAGUCGAUUACUUCAGAUACAUCCACUGAACUCACUAUUACUGAUGUAUAUCUGUCAGAUUCAGCUCUCUAUUAUUAUGCUCUAUUAGUAGGAGCCCAAUGAUACAAAACAUAAAGAAUGUCGUACAAAAACCUGAAGCUCUUUUCACUUUGGACCUAACUAGUGAAAACCACAAUCAAAACCACAAUCUAUCCAUCAAAAAUGUAAUAAAAUAUGGUCACACCUGUGAGAAGCAGAUUGUUAAAGGCAUAAAAGUAAACCAGAAACAUUUAAAAGAAACAUUUUCAUAACAAGUUUCCUGCGUAAAUACAGCAUCAAAAUCUGCUCAGCAAAUUCCUUUUCUUUUGGUUACAGGCAAUCAUUUUAACCUUUAGAAUGAAAUAUUUGACAAUUGACAGUUAAUGUUGAAAACUGUGUAUUUUACAAAAUAUAUUAAAAGUAAAAAAAACCUGCA